rnacentral:rRNA from 1 species
CCUACGGUGCGCAGCAGUAGGGAAUAUUGCUCAAUGGGCGCAAGCCUGACCCAGCAACGCCGCGUGAAGGAAGAAGGCUUUCGGGUUGUAAACUUCUUUUCUCAGGGACGAAGCAAGUGACGGUACCUGAGGAAUAAGCCACGGCUAACUACGUGCCAGCAGCCGCGGUAAUACGUAGGUGGCAAGCGUUAUCCGGAUUUACUGGGUGUAAAGGGCGUGUAGGCGGGGACGCAAGUCAGAUGUGAAAACCACGGGCUCAACCUGUGGCCUGCAUUUGAAACUGUGUUUCUUGAGUACUGGAGAGGCAGACGGAAUUCCUAGUGUAGCGGUGAAAUGCGGAGAUAUUAGGAGGAACACCAGUGGCGAAGGCGGUCUGCUGGACAGCAACUGACGCUGAGGCGCGAAAGCGUGGGGAGCAAACAGGAUUAGAUACCCCAGUAGUC